UACGUAGGGUGCGAGCGUUAAUCGGAAUUACUGGGCGUAAAGCGUGCGCAGGCGGUUCGUUGUGUCUGAUGUGAAAGCCCCGGGCUCAACUUGGGAAUGGCAUUGGAAACUGGCGAGCUAGAGUGUGGCAGAGGGGGGUGGAAUUCCGCGUGUAGCAGUGAAAUGCGUAGAGAUGCGGAGGAACACCGAUGGCGAAGGCAAUCCCCUGGGCCUGCACUGACGCUCAUGCACGAAAGCGUGGGGAGCAAACAGG
rnacentral:rRNA from 1 species